UACGGAGGGUGCAAGCGUUAUCCGGAUUCACUGGGUUUAAAGGGUGCGUAGGCGGGCAAUCAAGUCUGAGGUGAAAUCCUCCAGCUUAACUGGAGAAGUGCCCUGGAUACUGAUUGCCUCGAGGAUGGUAGGGGCAUCUGGAACUAGCGGUGGAGCGGUGAAAUGCGUUGAUAUCGCUAGGAACUCCGGUGGCGAAGGCGAGGUGCUGGACCAUUUCCGACGCUGAGACGCGAAAGCGUGGGGAGCAAACAGG
rnacentral:rRNA from 1 species